rnacentral:rRNA from 1 species
AGUCUGCAACUCGAGUGCAUGAAGCUGGAAUCGCCAGUAAUCGCGGAUCAGAAUGCCGCGGUGAAUACGUUCCCGGGUCUUGUACACACCGCCCGUCACACCAUGGGAGUCGGGAAUGCCCGAAGCCGGUGGCCCAAUCGAGAGAAGGGAGCCGUCGAAGGCAGGCCGGAUGACUGGGGUGAAGUCGUAACAAGGUACC